rnacentral:rRNA from 1 species
UAGGGAAUCUUCCACAAUGGACGCAAGUCUGAUGGAGCAACGCCGCGUGAGUGAAGAAGGUUUUCGGACCGUAAAGCUCUGUUGUUGGUGAAGAAGGAUAGAGGUAGUAACUGGCCUUUAUUUGACGGUAAUCAACCAGAAAGUCACGGCUAACUACGCGCCAGCAGCCGCGGUAAUACGUAGGUGGCAAGCGUUGUCCGGAUUUAUUGGGCGUAAAGCGAGCGCAGGCGGAAGAAUAAGUCUGAUGUGAAAGCCCUCGGCCUAACCGAGGAAUUGCAUCGGAAACUGUUUUUCUUGAGUGCAGAAGAGGAGAGUAGAACUCCAUGUGUAGCGGUGGAAUGCGUAGAUAUAUGGAAGAAUACCAGUGGCGAAGGCGGCUCUCUGGUCUGCAACUGACGCUGAGGCUCGAAAGCAUGGGUAGCGAACAGGAUUAGAUACCCUGGUAGUCCAUGCCGUAAACGAUGAGUGCUAAGUGUUGGGAGGCUUCCGCCUCUCAGUGCUGCAGCUAACGCAUUAAGCACUCCGCCUGGGGGAGUACGACCGCAAGGUUGAAAC